rnacentral:misc_RNA from 1 species
GCCGCCUGCUCAUCGAUGGUGACGGGCGCAACCGGACUGACCGCGAUCUGCUGCGAGGAUUUUCGCCAGGCGUUCGCAACCAGAACGGCUGCGAGAAUGACGACGGCCGCGAUCAGGAGGAGAAUGAUGUUGCGGAGGAUUCCGAUUGCACGGCGCAUCGUUUGAAUCCCCCGCUUUGUCUGGCUCUUACUUCUUCUUGGCGCGCUCGAUGCCUUCGACGAUCAGCUUGCGGGCGUCGUCCGCAUUGCCCCAGCGCAGCACCUUGACCCACUUGUUGGGUUCGAGAUCCUUGUAAUGUUCAAAGAAAUGCUGGAUUUGUUGCAGGGUGAUGUCAGGCAGAUCGCUGUAGUUCUGCACCUUGUCGUAGCGCUGGGUCAGCUUCGACGUCGGCACUGCGAUGAUCUUCUCGUCGCCGCCGGCCUCAUCUUCCAUGAACAGCACGCCGACCGGGCGCACCGCGAUCA